rnacentral:rRNA from 1 species
GAUGAACGCUGGCGGCGUGCCUAAUACAUGCAAGUCGAGCGAACAGACGAGUAGCUUGCUCCUCUGACGUUAGCGGCGGACGGGUUAGUAACACGUGGAUAACCUACCUAUAAGACUGGGAUAACUUCGGGAAACCGUAGCUAAUACCGGAUAAUAUAUUGAACCGCAUGGUUCAAUAGUUAAAGACGGUUUUGCUGUCACUUAUAGAUGGAUCCGCGCCGCAUUAGCUAGUUGGUAAGGUAACGGCUUACCAAGGCAACGAUGCGUAGCCGACCUGAGAGGGUGAUCGGCCACACUGGAACUGAGACACGGUCCAGACUCCUACGGGAGGCAGCAGUAGGGAAUCUUCCGCAAAGGGCGAAAGCCUGACGGAGCAACGCCGCGUGAGUGAUGAAGGUCUUCGGAUCGUAAAACUCUGUUAUUAGGGAAGAACAAAUGUGUAAGUAACUAUGCACGUCUUGACGGUACUUAAUCAGAAAGCCACGGCUAACUACGUG